AUUGAACGCUGGCGGCAGGCCUAACACAUGCAAGUCGAACGGCAGCACAGAAGAGCUUGCUCUUUGGGUGGCGAGUGGCGGACGGGUGAGUAACACGUAGGAAUCUACCCAGUAGUGGGGGAUAACCUGGGGAAACCCAGGCUAAUACCGCAUACGCCCUGAGGGGGAAAGCGGGGGAUCUUCGGACCUCGCGCUAUUGGAUGAGCCUGCGUCGGAUUAGCUAGUUGGUGGGGUAAGGGCCCACCAAGGCGACGAUCCGUAGCUGGUCUGAGAGGAUGACCAGUCACACCGGAACUGAGACACGGUCCGGACUCCUACGGGAGGCAGCAGUGGGGAAUAUUGGACAAUGGGCGCAAGCCUGAUCCAGCCAUGCCGCGUGGGUGAAGAAGGC
rnacentral:rRNA from 1 species